GAGGCGGGGAGGGUGCGCAGCGGUAGCUCGGCGUUCCCCUGUCCCGGCGUGCCCCUGUCGGUGGGCUCGGAUCGAUUAACGUGCGGCCCGCCGGUCCCGCGCUCUGUCAAGGAGGCGGCCGCCACCGGGAGCCCAGAGUGAGACUAUGGAACAGAAAUACAGAAAAUGACAGAAAAACAUUAGUUGCCCUCUUCUAGGACAGUCAUGUUGGAAGGAUUGGUAGCCUGGGUCCUCAACACCUAUUUGGGCAAAUAUGUCAAUAAUCUGAACACAGACCAGCUUUCAGUCGCUCUUCUGAAGGGUGCUGUUGAAUUGGAAAACUUGCCACUAAAGAAAGAUGCCUUGAAGGAACUGGAAUUACCUUUUGAAGUAAAGGCAGGUUUCAUUGGGAAAAUAACACUGCAGAUACCUUUUUACCGUCCACAUGUGGAUCCAUGGGUAAUAUCUAUCUCAAAAUUACACUUAAUUGGUGCACCAGAAAAAAAAGAAGAUUUUGAUGAGGAAAAGGAGAAGUUGCAAGAGAGAGAACGCAAAAAAGCCCUUCUCCUAGCACUUGAGGAAAAAUGGAAAAAAGAACAACAACAGAAAGGGGAAUCCUACUGGUACUCAGUUACUGCAUCUGUAGUCACAAGAAUUGUAGAAAACAUUGAAUUAAAAAUUCAGGAUGUCCACUUGAGGUUUGAAGAUGGUGUCACAAACCCUUUGCAGCCAUUUGCAUUUGGCAUAUGCAUCAAAAAAGUAUCCGUGCAAAAUGCAGUAUUUGAACCAGUAGAGAAGCUGAUGCGUAAAAAACAGUUGGAUGUUGCUGACUUCAGUGUUUAUUGGGAUACCAACUGCACUUUACUGGGAGACCUGCCUCCUGGCCAGCUACAGGAAGCAAUGGAUAAAAGUAUGGAAAGUCAUGAUCAUAAUUACAUCAUGGAACCUGUAUGCGCUUCCGCUCUUCUUAAGAGAAAUUGUUCUAAGGAGCCUUUAAGAUCACGCCAGACUCCACGGCUUGAGUGUGACAUUCAGCUUGAGACUAUACCCUUGAAGCUUUCACAGAUGCAGUACCAGCAGAUCAUGGGAUUUCUAAAGGAACUGGCUAGAAAGGAGCGACAGCUUAAAUUCAGGAAGUGGAGACCAAAGGUUCCGGUAACACAGAACUGCCAAGAAUGGUGGAUCUUUGCUUUGAAUGCUAAUCUGUCGGAGAUCAGGGAGCAGAGGCAGCGCUCCACCUGGGAGUUUGUAUUACAUCGGGCCCAAGAUGCAGUGUCUUACACUGACCUGUAUUACACCAAGUUGAAGGGGGAACCACUGUCUGCUGCAGAGCAGGCAGAAAUGCAUCGUAUUGAAGAUGAGCAAACAUACGAAGAGUUGAAGAUACUAUAUGAGAUAGUUCAUGAUAAAAUUCAUGACUUAGCUGAGAGCAUUAAAGAGCCCUUGCCUUAUUCCCCUGGAGGGUCCCCUACAGCAGAAUCUGCACAUGGCAGUAGCACUGGAAUGCUGCAGUAUCUUCAGUCAUGGUUUCCUGGAUGGGGAGGUUGGUAUGGAUAUGCUCAGCAAGCAUACGAAGGGGAACCAUUUGAAGGGCUGCUGACAGACCCAAAGGAACAGUGGAAUCCAGAGGACAUACUGGGUACAGAUGAGUUUUUUGACCCUGCUGCAGAUGCUUCUAGCAUGAAUACCUUUACAAAGAGAGAUCAUAUUUUUGCUAAAUUUAAUCUACAGUUGCAGGGUGGCUCUUUCACUCUGUUGCAUAAAAAGAAGAAGGUGGUGCAUGCUGAGGAGACUGCUUUUAUACAGCUGGAGUUUUCAGGUGUAAAGAUCUUAGCAGAAUCCCUUCCUCGCAGAAAUUCUUCCCUUCUCAGAGUUCAGCUUGGUGGUCUUUUUCUGAGGGAUUUGGCAACAGAAGGAACCAUAUUUCCUGUUCUUGUUUUCCCAAAUCCUCAGAAAGAGGUUGGCUGCAUGUCUUCCUUUGGACUCCAGAGUUUGUCCUCAGAAAUGACUAAUCAGAACACUGAUCCUGAUGCCCCAGUAUUUGAGAUGCUUUAUGAGAGAAAUCCAAUCCACAGCACUUUUGAGAGGCGCCUGGAAGUCAGUACCAGACCUCUCAAUAUUAUUUACAAUCCACAAGCCAUUAAGAAAGUAGCUGACUUCUUCUACAAGGGAAGAGUUCAUACCUCAGGUUUUGGAUAUCAGUCUGAAUUAGAAGCAAGAGUGGCUGAAGCUGCCAGAAGACAGUACAACAAGCUGAAAAUGCAGACAAAAGCUGAAAUCAGGCAAACUAUUGAUCGUUUACUUGUAGGAGACUUCAUAGAAAACAGCAAAAGCUGGACUGUGUGCCUUGAUAUUUCUGCCCCUCAGGUGAUAUUUCCUGAUGAUUUCAAAUUUGUGGAUCCAGUGUUAGUUGUUGUAGAUCUGGGAAGAAUAUUACUUACCAAUUCUCAAGAAGAAUCUAAAAGGAGUACAGAUACUUUUUCUUCAGAAGUCAACGAACUGAGUGAUGAGGAAUAUAAAACACCUCUUGCAACUCCUCCCAAUACUCCACCACCAGAAUCUAACACUAAUAGUGGCAUGAAAAUGUCUGAGUUUACUGAACUAGAAAUAAGUGAAGAGCAUCUACAAGCACACUUAAUGAGUAAAAGAAUGUAUGAGAGAUACACACUUUCAUUUAUGGAUCUUCAGAUCAUGGUGGGCCGAGUGAAAGACAACUGGAAACAUGUUCAAGAUAGUGAUGUGGGUCCAACUCAUGUGGUAGAAAAAUUCAAUGUUCACCUGCAGUUGGAGCGCAGGUUGAUUUACACGUCUGACCCAAAAUACCCAGGAGCUGUCUUGUCUGGAAGUCUGCCUGACUUGAAAAUCCACAUCAAUGAAGACAAAAUCCUGGCUCUGAAGAACUGUUGUAUGCAGCUGAGUACAUCUGAAACUAAGUCUUCUGAUGCCCUGCAUUUAGGGAAAGAUAAGAUUUUUGCAGAGGUAGACCAGCUUGGCAGUUUACAUGAUUCUGUGAUGAACCUAACCCAGAGUGUUGUGAUGCUAGAGCAACACACCAGGGAAGUUCUUGUUGAGUCUCAGCUGCUUUUGGCUGAAUUCAAAGUAAAUUGUAUGCAGUUGGGUGUUGAAAGUAAUGGAAGAUACAUCUCUGUACUCAAGGUUUUUGGCACCAAUGCCCGUUUUGUGAAAAGGCCAUAUGAUGCAGAGGUGUCCCUGACUGUUCAUGGCCUGUUACUAGUUGAUACUAUGCAAACAUAUGGAACAGAUUUUGAUCUUUUGAUGGCUUCUCAUAAGAAUCUGAGUUUUGAUGUGCCAACAGGAAGUCUUCGAGACAGCAGGGCUCAGUCUCCAGUUUAUGGACCACAUGAUUCACGUCCCAUUGAUGCAGCUAGUUUGGCAAAGAGAUGCACUACAGCUUCAAGUACUUCAUCUGGUAACAAUGGAAAAGAUCAAGAGUCCCUGAUAAAAUUAGAGUAUCAGUUUGUGAGUGCUGAAUGUCCAUCAAUGAAUUUGGAUUCCAGUCUGCAGGUGAUCUCUGUACAGGUGAACAACCUGGAUAUCAUCCUUAACCCAGAGACUAUUGUUGAACUGAUUUGCUUUCUCCAGAAAUCUUUCCCGAAGGAGAAAGAAGAUUCCAGCCCUCAGCCUUUAAUAACUGACUUGGAAAAAGAUUGGAGGGAACAGGAAACCUUCCAGUCAACUUACGUACAGAAUACGGAGGUAGCAGUUGAUAUUCACUGGUUAAAUAUACUCCUCCUCAGGACAGUUGGCAUGACAAAUGGAGAAAAAUAUGGCAGAAAAAUUGCAACAGCCAGUAUUGGUGGCACCAAAGUCAAUGUCUCCAUGUGUAGUAAAUUUGAUGUAAAUGGCUCUCUGGGAUGCCUUCAGCUGAUGGAUCUAACACAAGAUAGUGUUAAGAACCAGUAUGUUGUCAGCAUAGGGAAUACAGUGAGGUAUGAAAAUCUCAUUGGUGAUGUAGAUUACUUGGAAUCUUUAUUUUUCAGGCUUGAUGAUGGGAAUAGCCUUCCAGAUGCAUUAAGUUUUACUUUCACAGAAAAGUCAAAAGAGGAAUGUUCUCUGAACCUCAAAAUGGCCUCUUUACACUACAACCACUCAGCUAAGUUUCUGAAAGAACUAACUUUGUCAAUGGAUGAAUUGGAAGAGAAUUUCCGCAGCAUGCUGAAAAGUGCAGCUUCAAAAGUUACCACAGUCUUGGCAACUAAAACUGCUGAAUACAGUGAAAUGGUUUCUUUGUUUGACACAACACCACGAUCAAGAGAUGUUGCCAAUUUAGAAGAUAAUGAAGGCUAUGCCUUUGGAUUACAGCCACUCAAAAUUGAUACUAUUAAACUUAUAUUAAAUGUAAACAUUGAGUCACCCAUAGUUUCCAUACCUCGAAAGCCUGGUAGCUCUGAACUGCUUGUAGGUCAUCUAGGACAAAUAUCCAUUCAGAAUUUUGUACCAGGAGAAGACGAAUCUACAAGUGAUAGACUGCAGGUUGAAAUUAAAGACAUUAAAAUGUAUUCUUUAAAUAGCAGCCAGUUUACAAGCAAGAAGGAUCCUGCAAUUGAAAUAUCUCAUAGGCUGCAUUCUUCUUCAGGUCCUGCUAGUAUUAGUAGCCAGGAGGAAACCCAUUUUACUCGUCAUGACUUCUUUGAAUCAUUACAUAAAGGCCAUGCUUUCCACAUUCUGAAUAACACCACUAUCCAGUUUAAAUUGGAAAAGAUACCACUAGAAAAAGACUUAACUUUUCCUCUGAGUAAUGAAGACUUCGGAAUAUCAAGCAUUAUGAAGAUUGAAGGGAAAUUUGUUAACCCUCUUCAGGUCGUAUUAGCAAAACAUGUCUAUGAACAAGUCCUUCAGACUCUGGAUAAUUUAAUUUACAGUGAAGACUUGAACAGAUUCCCAACCACUUCUGUGUCUUCAACUUGUCAAAGUUCUCCUUCAACAUCACUUCCCAGUACAGGCACAGAAUUCUCAAGUGAACGGAAAGAAAAUGGUUUAUUCAGCCAUUCUAGUUUUAAUUCUCUUCCAAACAAGUCGGUAGCUAUCAGGGAAACAAAAUCUUUUACUCACAUUCAGGCAAACUUUCAUAUCUCAGAGCUUCAGGUGCAGUUAAGUGGUGACCUUACACUUGGUGCACAAGGCCUUGUCAGUCUUAAGUUUCAGGAUUUUGAUGUUGAGUUUGCUAAAGAUCAUCCUCAGACUUUGUCUAUUCAGAUUGCCCUGCGUUCUUUACUGAUGGAAGAUCUUCUGGAGAAGAACCCAGACUCUUUGUACAAGAAUCUCAUGGUGUCCCGUGGAGCACCCAAGCCCUCCAGUUUAGCACAUAAGGAAUAUCUUUCCCAGUCUUGUCCCUCAGUAUCCAAUGUAGAGUAUCCAGAUAUGCCCCGUUCCCUACCUUCCCAUAUGGAAGAAGCGCCUAAUGUCUUUCAGCUGUACCAAAGACCAGUUUGGUCCUCCCGUAAGAAGCAAAAAGAAGAUGCGGAUUCUGAGUAUCCUCUGACUCCACCUCCUUCUCCAACAGCAGACAGUUCCAAGUUGCCUUGUGGAAAAAGUAACUUUGAUGAUUCUUUGGUUCAUAUCAAUAUAUUUCUAGUGGAUAGGAAACAUCCUGAAUUUUCUUCUCACUAUAACAGACUUAACCGUAGCGUAGACGUUGAUUUUAAUUGUCUAGACGUCUUAAUAACUUUGCAAACUUGGGUAGUAAUACUGGAUUUCUUUGGUAUUGGAUCCACUGCUGAUAACCAUGCUAUGAAGCUGCAACCUGAAGAUACUCAGCAGGCAGUCAAAUCAGAAAUAAAUACCUUGUCAGCUGCUCAAGCCCAAGAGCCUGUAAACACAAAGCUGGAUCUGAAGAUCCAUUCUUUAUCCUUAGUACUGAAUAAGACAACUAGUGAGCUUGCUAAAGCCAGUGUGUCAAAACUUGCAGCUCACUUGGAAGUGAUUGAGGGAGAUUUAGCCCUGCAAGGAAGUAUUGGCAGUCUGUCCUUAAGUGACCUUACAGCUCAUGGAGAAUUUUACAGAGAACGUUUCACUACAAGUGGUGAAGAAGCACUCAUUUUCCAAGUCUUUAAAUAUGGGAAGCCAGAUCCAUUGCUGCAACGGGGGUGUGAUAUUCGUGUCACACUGCGGAUGGCGUCUGUUCAGUAUGUGCACACUCAGCGUUUCCAGGCAGAAGUGGUGUCAUUCAUCCAACAUUUUACUCAGCUUCAGGAUGUCUUGGGGCGUCAAAGAGCAGCAAUUGAAGGACAAACAGUAAGAGAUAAAGCACAGCGAGCUUCACGAGUUCUUCUUGAUAUUGAGGCUGGUGCUCCUGUUCUGCUUAUACCUGAGAGCUCAAAGUCUAAUAGUCUUAUUGUAGCUAAUCUUGGAAAACUGAAAGUGAAGAACAGAUUUCUGUUUGCUGGCAUGCCAGGCACUUUUUCAUUAAAGAACAAGCAGGAUUCAGCUCAAUUUUCAUCUCCUUUGGGAACUCCCAAACAUAGCAUGAAGAAAACAAGUGCUCAUGAAUCAAAAGUAGCAAUGGAAGGAUUGUUCAUGAAAAAAUCAUCAGGAACAAACAUGUCUAAGCUGAAGAAUGAACCUGUGCUGAAUACACUGAGUAAGCAACAAGGGCAGCAAACAAAGCUCCCUGUUGUACCGAACCCUGACAGCCCAGAGGAUCACAUCUGCCUCUUAGACUGCAUUGUGGUUGAUCUGCAGGACAUGGACAUAUUUGCUGCAGAAAGAUAUCACAGAGAGUGUUCAAAGGCUGUGGAAGGUACUAAUGCAGACUUGAGCUUUCCAUCCUACUUCGUGAGGCAAACAGGAGGAAGCUUAUUGACAGAACCUUUCAGAUUGAAGUUAGAAGUAGAAAGAAACUUAGACAAAGAGUUAAGUCAUGCAGUUGCAGACAUAUCAAUACAUGGCAACCUGUCAUCAGUCCAUUGCACUCUGGAUUUGAACAAGUAUAAACUGAUAAGGGGACUGCUGGAGAACAACCUUGGGGAGCCUAUAGAAGAGUUCAUGCGGCCUUAUGACUUGCAGGAUCCAAGAAUUCAUACAGUUCUAAGUGGAGAAGUGUAUACUUCUAUGUCAUUCCUUAUCGACAUGGUUAAUGUGAGCUUGGAACUCAUGGAUCCAAAAGGGAAAGAUGGAUGCAGCUCUUUAGCCAGGUUUGAUUUCAAGAAAUCCAAGUUGCUUUUUGAAAGUUCUUCAAAUGGAACAAAGUCUGUAAAUUUGGUUUCUCAUUCCAUGAUGGCAUUUGACACACGUUACGCUGGACAGAAGUCUGCUACAGGCACACCAAAUGUAUUCAACUGCAUCUUUCAGUCAUCAAAGAACACCAGUAGUCCAGGAGCAAUCCAGAUCGAAUUGCACUUCAGGUCUACAAAGGAUUCCUCCAGUUUCACAGUUGUUCUGAACAAUCUUCGUGUAUUUCUGAUCUUUGACUGGUUGUUACUUGUUCAUGAUUUCUUAUAUACCCCUGGAGAUACCAAAAAGCGGGAAACUCGCCAUUCUUCCCGGCAGCGAACUUACAGCAGUGAAACAGCUGUAGUUCCCAAAGCAGUGAAAAGUGGAGUAGUUACAAAGCGUUCAUCACUGCAUGUGUCUGCAGAAAAACAAUUGGAAGUAAAGGUUAAUGUGACAGGGACUGAAUUUGUGGUUGUUGAAGACAUGUGUUGUUUCGAUACCAAUGCCAUUAUUUUGAAGGGGACAACUGUUCUCACUUAUAAACCCAAGUUGCUGGAUCGUCCUUUCUCUGGUAGUUUGUUUGGCAUUGAGGUGUUUUCAUGCCGGUUAGGAAGUGAGCAAGAGACUGCACUGUCAAUCAUUGAUCCAGUACAAAUUCAGCUGGAGCUUGUUGGGAAUGCUUCCUACCCGAGUGGUUCAGGUCUGUUGGAUGCUUUCAAUAGUGAGGAUUUUCCUCCUGUUCUAGAGAUUCACUUGCAAGCACUGGAUAUCAGACUGUCCUACAAUGAUGUUCAACUAUUCCUGGCAAUUGCAAAGUCAAUUCCUCGACAGACUAGUGCAGCUAUGCCUGACACAACUAUAUCAACUGCUGAAAAUACUGCUAACCCUUCCAGUUCAGCACUGGUGAAUGAAACUUCCUCCUUGACACAUGAAAACAGAGAUACAUCCAAACGUGUGUUGGAUCCUGUUCUUGAGGUGCAGCUGGCUCGCCUCCAGGAGUUGGGAUUCAGUAUGGAAGAUUGUCGUAAAGCUCUUUUGAUCUGCCAAGGUGACUUGAAAAAAGCAGCCACUUGGUUAUUUAAGAACGCUGAACCUUUGAAAUCAGUUUCCCAGUCCUCUUCUGGUCGAGAUAGCCAGGGGAUUUUGCCUUUUCAGUUCAUCUCUGGAGUUGAAAUAAAAGCAGAAAUUAUAUGCAUUUGCUUUAUUGAUGACUGCAUGGACUGUGAUGUUCCUCUUGCUGAGUUAACCUUUUCACGCUUGAAUUUUCUCCAGCAUUUGAGAGCCAACCCAGAAGGUUAUGCUCGUUUUACCCUCUCUGGAGAUUAUUACAAUCGUGAGCUUUCAGGCUGGGAGCCAUUUAUUGAGCCUUGGCAGUGUUCAGUUUCUUGGCAACAGCAAGCUUCGAGCCGCCUCCAUCCUUCCCGACUGAAGCUGGAAGUAAAGGCUGAACACCGUCUGGAUAUAAACAUUACCUCUGUCUUCAUGGAGCAGUACACGUGUACCAAACAGUCCUGGAUGGAAGAUUACUGUAAAGAGGAGAAAGAGGUGAAUGUAAUCAGUACAGAAGACUGGAUGGAUUCUUCGGUGGAUCCACCAUGUUUUGGGCAGAGCCUUCCUCUUGUCUACCUUAGAACUAGGAGUACAGCCAGUUUGACUAACCUAGAGCAUCAGAUCUAUGCUAGAGCUGAAAUGAAGACUCCAAAACGCAGGCAACCAUUUGUCCCAUUUGCCCUAAGAAAUCAUACUGGAUGCACGCUCUGGUUUGCCACCCUAACUACAACUCCUACCAGGGCUGCCCUGUCUCACAGUGGGAGUCCAGGUGUGGUUCCUGAGGAAAACGGGACGUUGCUGGACGAUGCCCACAAUGUCAGUGAAUGGCAAGAGGUUAUUACUGGGGAAGAGAUUCCAUUUGAAUUUGAAGCUAGAGGAAAACUCAGACACAGGCACACUCACGAUCUAAGAAUUCACCAGUUACAAGUGAGAGUGAAUGGCUGGGAAGAAGUCAGUCCAGUGUCUGUAGAUAAAGUUGGAACAUUUUUCCGAUAUGCUGCACCAGAUAAGAACUCAUCCUCUUCUACUCUUGGAAGCCCAAUAAGUAGAACAAAUAUAAUACAUCCGCAAGUCUACUUUUCUUCAUUGCCUCCAGUUCGUGUGGUAUUUGAAGUUACCAUGGAAGGUAGCGCUCGAAAAGUGAUAACAGUGCGCUCAGCCUUGAUGGUGAAGAACAAGCUGGAAACACCAAUGGAACUAAGGCUAGACAGUCCUUCUGCUCCUGACAAGCCUGUAGUUCUUCCAGCAGUUAUGCCAGGAGAUUCCUUUGCAAUUCCAUUACAUCUUACAUCUUGGCGUUUGCAAGCCAGGCCAAAAGGAAUGGGAGUCUUUUUCUGUAAGGCUCCAAUUCACUGGACUAAUGUUCAGAAGACAGCAGAGGUCUGUAGUAGCAAGCAAGAGUGUCAUUCAAUGGAGUCUGAAAACAGCCAUUUUUUCAGGUUUUGUGUGGCUAUAAAGAAAGAAAAUUAUCCAGAUUACAUGCCUUCCAACAUAUUUUCUGACAGUGCUAAACAGAUUUUCAGGCAGCCUGGGCAUACUAUUUAUCUGUUACCAACAGUGGUAAUCUGCAACUUGCUGCCUUGUGAGCUUGAGUUCUACAUUAAAGGAACACCAAUUAAAGGGACAUUAAAACCUGGCAAAGAGGCAGCAUUGCACACAGCUGAUACAUCUCAGAACAUUGAGCUUGGGAUACUGCUAGAAAACUUCCCAGUCUGCAAAGAGCUGUUAAUUCCUCCUGGGACACAAAACUACAUGGUGCGGAUGCGGUUGUAUGAUGUCAACAAACGACUGUUAAGCUUGACCAUCCGGAUUGUGUGUCGUGCUGAAGGUUCUCUAAAAAUACUGAUUUCAGCACCAUACUGGUUAAUCAACAAAACAGGAUUACCACUUAUCUUCAGACAAGAUAAUGCAAAAACAGAUGCUGCAGGUCAGUUUGAAGAGCAUGAGCUUGCUAGAAGCCUCAGCCCACUUCUCUUCUGUUACGCUGAUAAAGAACAGCCAAACUUUUGUACAAUGCGGGUUGGAAGAGGAAUCCAUCCUGAAGGCAUGCCUGGCUGGUGCCAGGGUUUCUCCCUGGAUGGUGGUAGUGGUGUGAGAUCCCUGAAGGUGAUUCAGCAUGGAAACAGGCCAGGCCUCAUUUACAGCAUUGGUAUCGAUGUUAAAAAAGGCAGAGGCCGUUAUAUUGAUACAUGUAUGGUAACAUUUGCACCCCGUUACCUGCUAGAUAAUAAAUCAACCUACAAGCUUGCCUUUGUCCAGCGGGAGUUUGCCAGAGGUCAGGGAACGUCCAAUCCUGAUGGCUACAUCUCCACACUUCCUGGUUCCAGCGUUGUGUUCCACUGGCCACGUAAUGAUUAUGAUCAGUUGUUAUGUGUGAGACUAAUGGAUGUCCCAAACUGCGUCUGGUCUGGGGGCUUUGAGGUCAACAAAAAUAACUCAUUCCAUAUUAAUAUGAGGGACACCUUGGGAAAAUGUUACUUCUUAAGAGUAGAAAUUACUCUUCAAGGAGCCACAUAUCGCGUUGCAUUCAGUGACACUGAUCAGUUACCGCCACCUUUCCGCAUAGACAAUUUUUCCAAGGUCCCAGUUGUUUUUAAUCAGCAUGGCGUUGUCGAGCCGAGACUGUACACUGAGGUAAAGCCCAUGACCUCUCUGGACUAUGCCUGGGAUGAACCUAUUCUACAACCUUUUAUAAUGCUGACAGUGAAAGGGGCUGGCUCCUCGGAAAUCGUUUGUAGCAUGAAUGACUUCCAAGAGAGCAAGCAGCUUUACUACGAGAACUUCAUCUAUAUUGCUGCUACAUAUACUUUCUCAGGGUUACAGGAGCCAGGUGUAAGACCAGUUGCUUCAAAUAAGGAUGCUGCAUAUGCAGAGCUCGUCCUUGAUGUUUCUCCAAAGACUCAAAGAGUUGUACUGAAAAAGAAGGAGCCAGGAAAACGAUCCCAGCUUUGGAAAAUGACAAGUACAGGAAUGCUUUGCCAUGAAGGUUCAUCUGUUCCUCAAAACCCCCAUAAAGCAUCUCCUCGGAAUGUGGACUCUUGUAUGAUUUUAGAUAUUGCAGGCCUGGCGGCUGUUACUGAUAACAGGUAUGAGCCCCUGAUGUUGAGGAAGCCUGAUCGACGGCGCAGCACUACGCAGACGUGGAACUUUCGUGAUGGAAAGUUGACCUGUGGUAUUCAUGGACUUGUUGUCCAGGCAAAGGGGGGAAUAGUAGGCCUUCAUGAUGGAGCAGAAGUUGUUCUUGGUCCCGAUACUUCACUUGAUCUUCUGGGACCAGUUCCACCUGAACAGCAGUUCAUAAACCAAAAGAUGAGGCCUGGGUCAGGAGUACUGGCUGUUAGAGUCAUCCCGGAUGGGCCAACUAGAGUUCUACAGGUAACGGAUUUUAACCAACGUAGAAAUGAUCGUUUAUCCAGCGAAGGAGAUGAAUUUCCCAUUACAGAACAGGAUCUACGCAAGUUGAAAAACCCAGAUACAGAGCAGGAAUUAGAAGUGCUUGUGAAACUGGAAGGUGGAAUAGGAUUGUCUUUGGUAAAUAAGGUUCCUGAAGAGCUGGUGUUUGCAAGCCUCACAAGAAUUAAUAUCCACUACACAGAUCUGUCAACAAGUCAGGUGCUGGAGCUCAGUGUGCAAGACAUACAGGUGGACAACCAGCUUAUUGGCACCACAUGGCCUUUCAUGCUCUAUCUGACCCCUAAGACAAGUGAAAAUGAAUCCAUAGAAACUGGUCCUGCUGUGCAAGUAAAUGCGAUGAAAUUUCCCAGUAAAAAUGCACUGACUGAUAUAUACAAGCACCUGAUGAUCACUGCUAGAAAGUUCACCGUUCAAAUUGAGGAGAAACUACUUCUGAAGCUGUUGAGUUUCUUUGGCUAUGAUCAUUCUGAAUCAGAGGUUGAGAAAUACGAUGAAAACCUCCAUGAAAAGGUUGUUGAACAAGGUGGAGGACAAAAGCGAUACUACUUUGAAAACCUGAAAAUUAGUGUCCCUCAAAUCAAGUUGAGUGUCUUCACUUCCAGCAAGCUGCCUCUGGACCUCAAGGCAUUGAAAAGCACACUGGGAUUUCCUCUAAUCCGAUUUGAAGACGCUGUGAUUAAUCUGGAUCCUUUCACUAGGGUCCAUCCAUACGAAACUCAGGAGUUUAUCAUUAAUGACAUUUUGAAACACUUUCAAGAGGAGCUGCUUAGUCAGGCAGCAAGGAUUCUAGGCUCUGUGGAUUUCCUUGGCAACCCUAUGGGUCUGUUGAAUGAUGUUUCAGAAGGUGUUACUGGACUUAUAAAAUAUGGCAACGUUGGUGGUCUCAUAAGAAAUGUCACACAUGGAGUAUCAAACUCAGCUGCAAAGUUUGCUGGGACCUUGUCAGAUGGUUUGGGAAAGACAAUGGAUAGCAGACAUCAGACCGAACGAGAAUACAUCCGAUACCACGCUGCAACUAGUGGAGAACAUCUCGUGGCUGGAAUCCAUGGGCUUGCACAUGGAAUCAUUGGAGGACUGACAAGUGUAAUAACUUCAACUGUGGAAGGUGUGAAGACCGAAGGAGGUGUCAGUGGCUUCAUAUCGGGCCUUGGCAAAGGGCUGGUGGGCACAGUAACCAAACCUGUAGCUGGGGCUCUGGACUUUGCAUCGGAAACUGCACAGGCAGUGAGGGACACGGCAACUCUGAGUGGCCCCAGGACACGAGCAGAGAGAGUGAGAAAGCCCCGCUGCUGCAGGGGACCGCAAGGGCUCUUGCCCCGCUACUCACAGAGUCAAGCAGAAGGACAAGAACAGCUCUUCAAACUGACUGACAACAUCCAAGAUGAGUUCUUUAUAGCAGUGGAGAACAUAGACAGCUACUGUGUUCUCAUCUCAUCUAAAGCUGUUUAUUUCCUGAAGAGUGGUGAUUACACAGACCGCGAGGCCAUCUUCCUUGAAGUCAAGUAUGAUGAUCUCUACCACUGCCUUGUUUCAAAAGACCAUGGGAACGUGUACAUACAGUUGACGAAGAAAGCUGUUAAUACCAGUAGUGGUGUAGCUAUGCCAGGCCCAUCACAACAGAAACCAAUGGUGAAUGUGAAAUCUGAAGUUCUUGCAAUAAAGCUGUCUCAAGAAAUAAACUAUGCAAAGAGCCUUUAUUAUGAACAACAGCUUAUGUUAAGACUCAGUGAAAAUCAAGACCAAUUAGAGCUGGACUCCUGAACCUCUUCCUACUGCCAGAGUGAACUGCAAUUACUGGUCUGGAGCUGAUGGUACUCUGUCACUAGAGAAAGUCCUAUAUGCAACCUUUAUGCCCUCUCCUUCGAGCACACACCAGAGGGAAGCUGACAUGCAGAAGAACAUGUACUUACACACCAGAAAGCCAGAAGGUAUCACAGGACAUCCAGAAAUUCGCACAGCAUCUGUUGGAUGCUCUCAGCAUUUGAAAGACAAGCAUCCAUUGUCAAAGCAGAGAUUAAAUGCCUAUUUAAAUUAUAACCAUCAAUGAUAAGCAGCUUAGCACUGAGCCUUCGCUGUACAUUCACACACAGAUUAUGGUAUUACUGCAAGAUCUCUCUGCUGUAGGUUCCUGCAGAGGUUUGAAAUAACCCACACACAGCACAAGAGCCCACUUUCACAGCUGGCACACAUGAGCAACCCUUCUAGACUCACGCUGGUAACUGGACUGCUCUGGAGAAAAAGCAGGUUUCUGUCUUUCAUAAAGAAAUGCUGAAAUAUGAGCAAUUUGCAACAGAAACCAUGCAACUGACCAGCUGAUGCUCAACACAAGCACAGCACAAUGCCUGCAUAUUCCACAGAACAACCGUCUGCACCCCUUCUGGGCUGCAUUCAGCAACACUUCUCCUCACUGCCCACACUGAACAGGUAGCAAUAACCAACAGGUUUCCAGCACCAGCAAGACACCCGGAAGAGCCUCUGCACUUGUUCCCCCAGAGACAUGCAGAGAGGAGGCAUUUCUGGAGGUCUGGCUCCUAUUCAGGAGAGAAAUGUUUCCCUUGGCUUGUGAACGUUGCUCAGGCUGAGCACGGUAACAGGCUGAAGAAGCCAGCUUUCCAUUCCCUGUUCCAUUACUCUUUUUGAUUGGCACUUUAAUGAGGGCGCCAGGGGUCGACCCCUUGCCAGGGGGCAGGUUCAUGCCCCGUUUAUCUCACAGUCCAUGUAAGACUAAAAUAACACACCAGGCUGAGUUUCACUGGCUUGUAAUCCAACAGCCCACCAUGAUGGAUUGAGUGACUGCAGCAAGCUGGCAGCUAAAGUGUGUUGUAACAGUAUCUUUCUGUCAGCACAACACAAUGGAUUUGCUGAUUCCUGGGCUUUCCCAGUGUUCACCCUUACCAUCAGCUCAGAACUUGCUAAAGUUCAUUUUCCAGGGGGCUGCAAAGUGAUAAUAAAUAACAUACCAAAGGUUACGCCAAGCUUUUCUUCCCCUCAACUGUCCUGCUGCUGACAAAGUAGGGGGUGUGGUGCCAGCUUUAUUGCACACACAAGAGCAGCCGUAAAUCCACUCGCUUUUCCAGAAA